rnacentral:rRNA from 1 species
AGGACUAACGCUGGCGGCGUGCCUAACACAUGCAAGUCGAACGAAGUAGCAAUACUUAGUGGCAGACGGGUGAGUAACACGUAGUCAACCUGCCCUUCAAUGGGGGAUAACUAGCCGAAAGGUUAGCUAAUACCGCAUACGAUCUCUGAGUGGCAUCACUCGGCGAUGAAAGGAGUAAUCCGUUGAAGGAGGGGACUGCGUCCCAUUAGUUAGUUGGUGGGGUAAUGGCCUACCAAGACUCCGAUGGGUAGCUGGCUUGAGAGAGCGACCAGCCACACUGGAACUGAGACACGGUCCAGACUCCUACGGGAGGCAGCAGUGAGGAAUUUUCCGCAAUGGGGGAAACCCUGACGGAGCGACGCCGCGUGUGGGAAGAAGGCCUUCGGGUCGUAAACCACUGUCGAGGGGGACGAUAUUGACGGUACCCCUGGAGGAAGCCCCGGCGUAACUACGUGCCAGCAGCCGC